CACAUGGAGGUUUCAUACGGGACUUAGAAAAAAUGUAGGCUACUAAAGGAAAGUUUCAGACCUUCCUGUAAAUGCCAUUUUCCUCAUUAUUGGGAAAUGAGGUCUCAGUGGGACCACUGAACCAGCCUUUGUAUUUACAAAAUAUGGUUAGGACGAGAUUAACAUCAUGCACUGAAGGAGUUUUUUGAAUCCAAGUAAGAGACUACUUUUUAUAAGGGAGUUGGCCCAGCCGGGCUGCCUCUGAGUCAAUUGGGCUGAGAAAUAAUUUGGAUGCCCACUGCCUGAGUCAAAUUUUCAGGUUUAAACAUACCUGAAAUGAUGCUGCUUAGUAGACUGCAGUGUCGGAUAAGCGUGCAUCUGCUCUCAAGUUGAAAAUACACAGACUCCAGGGGCUAAUUCUGAUCUCAGUCUGUCACCUACAUUCAGCCACAUGGGACAAGGCUUCUUCAAGUAGAUUUGCCAAAGCAAAAGAAGACUCCCAUUGUGACCUUAAUACUUAAGAUUGCGGCCUUAAAUUGAGUUCCUCAUCUACGAAAUUCCAAGCAGUGCCUUCGCAGUAAAGAUAAAACUGGAUCUCCUCAAAGGGAAACCCAUCCCUCUUACCCCAUUCUUGAGGUUUGCUUGAGUCUGACCUUCUAGAAUCCUGGCUCCAGAGGUGACUCAACCCUGACCAAGUACAUAGUCCACAAUGCUUGGAUUCAGGGAUAAUCAGUGCACUGCCAAUUCAAGCCAAUGAGCCUCAAAUCUGGGACUCUUUGGAACUAUGUGAAAAAAGAAGCUUAUUCUACAGGGAAUGCUCACUGUACAUAAGAUUUAUGGCUGGAGUUUCCAGUGGCCAUACUUCUAUGUCAGGGGGAUCCACCGAAUGAAGGCAAACACAGAAUUAAGAGAAUUUUGGAGCCAUAGAAGACCCUGGUAACUCAAUUGAUAUGUCUGGAUACAGCCAAGCCAAGACAGAAGCCAGUGUUGCUGCUGGACUUUUCAAAUUGAGAACCAAUGAAUUAUUUUGUUAUGUUCUUAAGCCAAGUUGGAUAGAGCCUCCUGUCACUUACAGCAAAGAAUUCGGAUACCAUCUCUAUUUAGGGUGUCCCAGGUUUUCUCUAGAUACCUUAAAACGUGUUAUAAAAUUCUCAAAAUAUACAUAAAACCUAUAGAGAAUUCAUUUUAAAAUAGGAAUAUAUAAAGGGAAUACCAAUGUCAUUAAAUCCCAAAGUCAGUAACAGAACAGAGCAACUGAUUAGAAUGAGGAAUCGUUUGUUUCAUGCUGGCUGAUUCACUAACGCUUCGCUGUCUAAUACUGGAGCUCCAAGCCACCUGUGGCCACUGCCCACGGAGUGCAGGAACAGUGGUGGCUGGUCUGGAUGCAGGUGUGCUAAAGAUGUAAAGCACACAUUAGGUUAGAACUGACUACAAAAAGAAAAUGAAUGUAAACUCUCUCAUUAAUAAUUUUAAUACCGAUCACAUGUCAAAGAGACAACAUUUUGGAAGGAUUAGGUUAAAUAACAGAUAUUAUUAAAAUUAAUUUCACCUGUUUCUUUUUACGUUUUGUAAUAUGGCUGCUACACAAUUGUUAUGUAUGCCUCAUGUUAUUUUUCUAUUGAAUAGUGCUGCAUAAAAGCUGCAAUUGUUACAAGAUUCCACUGCAUGUUGAGCUCAAACCUUUAUUCCUGUCGCUCCUACCCUCGCUGGCUGUCCCUAUCUUGAGUUACUAUGGUCAAACUUGGAGAAUAAAAAUGGAAUCAAAUCCAUUUUUCACGGUACAGUCCCUCAGCUAUUUAAAGGCAGCUCCCACAUUCUUCUCAUAACUUCUUUUUUUCUAGGCCAAAUGCCCCACAUUUUCUUACUCUUCUCUGGACAUCUUUUGGUUUACCAAAGAUCCCUUAAAACGUGAUGCUUAGCAUUCUUCCUGGCAUACCAGUGUGGUCUCUUGGUAUUGAGGUUCUCACCUUCUUGGACUAGACACCCUAUCUCUAUUUAUGUGACCUUGUUGCCAUUAACAUCUUUGAAAACUAAAGCUGAUACCAGUGGUUUUCAAAAGUUGAUGCCCAAACUAGCAGCAUCAACAUCACCUGAGAAGUUGUUAGAAAUGUAAAUUCUCUGGCUCCUCCCAAGACCUCCGGAAUCACAAACACUGGGGUUGGUAUCCAGC
rnacentral:lncRNA from 10 species